GUUGUUGUGGCUCAGCGGUAGAGCGCUCACCUAGCAUGUGCGAGGCCCUGGGUUUGAUCCUCAACACCACA
rnacentral:tRNA from 1 species